GCGGGCGUAGCUUAGUCCGGAUAAAAGCGCCUCCCUGUCACGGAGGAGAACGUGGGUUCAAAUCCCAUCGCCCGCGCAA
rnacentral:tRNA from 1 species